AAAGAAUCCUUUCUAGUUUUUUUUUGUUGUAUGCAAUUGUCAUAAUACAUUAAGGAUAGAUAAGAUUAGAGCAAGGAAAUAUUUAGAAGCACUAGGGUAUUCCCUAUGGCUCCUAUCUUCACAUGAAUUCUUGACCCUCAAAUCUAAGAUCAACGAUUUAGAUUUAGUCUAGGGUUUGGUGUGAACUAGGAUCAAAUAAUUCCCCAUCCAUCCCCUCCACACUCAAAUUAUGGACCCUUGAAUUUGGAGAUCAACGGUUUAGAUUGAGUUGUUCUCCUCUAUAUAUUCUCCCCACCCACUCUUUAUCUCCA
rnacentral:lncRNA from 1 species